UUGCACCGAAAAUGUAACGGGGCUAAAGCACAUUACCGAAGCUGCGGGUAUCAAAAAAUAUUUAUUUUUUGGUACGGUAGAGGAGCAUUCUGUUAAGGCUGAAGGUUAUUCGUAAGGAUAGCUGGACAUAACAGAAGAGACCAUGCUGACAUGAGUAACGAUAAAGCGGGUAAGAAACCCGCUCGCCGUAAACCUAAGGUUUCCUUGAGUAAAGCUAAUCUGCUCAGGGUUAGUCGAUCCCUAAGCCGAGGCCGAAAGGCGUAGGCGAUGGAAAACAGGUUAAUAUUCCUGUACCAGUUAAUAUUGCGAUGGGGUGACGGAGAAGUGAAAGAUCUGCGCGGCGACGGAAGUCCGCGUUAAAGGGUGUAGACGUUGAUUCAGUAGGCAAAUCCGCUGAUGAGUUGAACCUGAUAGUACUAAGCGUCUUUUAGACAAUUAGAUAUGAUCCUAAUCAUGCUCCCAAGA
rnacentral:rRNA from 1 species